rnacentral:rRNA from 1 species
GUGAGGAAUAUUGGUCAAUGGGCGAGAGCCUGAACCAGCCAAGUCGCGUGAAGGAAGAAGGAUCUAUGGUUCGUAAACUUCUUUUGCAGGGGAAUAAAGUGCGGGACGUGUCCUGUUUUGUAUGUACCCUGAGAAUAAGGAUCGGCUAACUCCGUGCCAGCAGCCGCGGUAAUACGGAGGAUCCGAGCGUUAUCCGGAUUUAUUGGGUUUAAAGGGUGAGUAGGUGGUUUGAUAAGUCAGCGGUGAAAGUUUGCAGCUUAUCUGUAAAAAUGCCGUUGAAACUGUCGGACUUGAGUGUAAAUGAGGUAGGCGGAAUGCGUGGUGUAGCGAUGAAAUGCAUAGAUAUCACGCAGAACUCCGAUUGCGAAGGCAGCUUACUAAGCUACAACUGACACUGAAGCACGAAAGCGUGGGGAUCAAACAGGAUUAGAAACCCCGGUAGUCC